AAAUUCAAAACCUUAGUUUCCAAUUGCUACAAACUAAAAGCAUCAAUAAUCAAUAACCAAAAAAACAUAGUAAUUAAUUAAUAUUCUCCCUUAAAAAUAUACAAACUAGUAUCAUCAAAUAAACCAAUUCAUCUCCAACAACAUUAAAAAUAAAAUAAACCACCAAAAAAACAUAAACAAAUUUAUGUAUUACAAUUUCAUACCCUCACUCACUCACUCACUCACUCAAUCAUGUAUCUUGGCAAACCAUGCAAAUCAUUCCACCAUUUUUGGUUUUCUCUUCAAAAUCUUUGAACAAAAUUAUCAACCAUUUCUCUUUGGCGCUUGUCAUUGCAAAGAUUAACCUCCAUGUUUGAUGAUAGUUACUUACAUUACUUAGUAUUGUGAGUGAGGAUUGGAGAAGAUUAUGGGACACGCGCAUAGAGAAAAGGUUCCUUCUUCCUUCUUGUCUCCUUGAUAGAACAGAACAAGAACAGAACAAAGAUAUCACACUCUCACAUGAUGAUGUUUCAGUGAGACAAAGAAAAUGGAUCUAACUUAUAACAUCAUUAAAUAAAACAAACAACAUUGAAAGAUACUAAAAUGUUGUUGGUUACAUUAUUUAAUGACCCAUAAUAACAAAACGUGUAAAAAUGCAAACUUUUUCUCACAUAAAUCACAAUAAUAAGGAUUGACCAUUCUGGGUCUUUCUUUUUUUCAACAUGGAAAGAAAAACAAGAAAUAAAUGAAUGAAGAAGAAAUUUAAAGAGUAGAGUAGUAGUAGUAGUAAUAGUAGUAGUAGUUAGAUAUGUUAAGAUAGUAGAUGGAAUGGAAUGAAAUGAGAGAGAGAAUGGAAAGAUGGAUUUGAUGUGAGUUGAGUGGCGUGGUUCAAUUUGCAGAGAGAGAGAGACAGAGGGAAGAAGAGAAGAAGGGGUUGCGUGUGGCCGUCUUGAAAAUAUUAUUGCUGCUUACGGCAUCGACGUGUAGCAGUUGAAAAAGCUACCAUUUUCUUCCUUCUAUACUCUGUUUUUUU
rnacentral:lncRNA from 1 species